UACAGAGGGGGCAAGCGUUGUUCGGAAUUACUGGGCGUAAAGGGCGCGUAGGCGGCCCGCUACGUCGAACGUGAAAUCCCCGAGCUCAACUCGGGAACUGCGUCCGAUACUGGCGGGCUUGAAUCCGGGAGAGGGAUGCGGAAUUCCAGGUGUAGCGGUGAAAUGCGUAGAUAUCUGGAGGAACACCGGUGGCGAAGGCGGCAUCCUGGACCGGCAUUGACGCUGAGGCGCGAAAGCUAGGGGAGCAAACGGG
rnacentral:rRNA from 1 species